UCUGUAUCUAUUUAGGUUGCUGCAAAAGUAAUUGCGGUUUUUGCCCUUACUUUCAAUGGCAAAACUGCAAUUACUUUUGCACCAACCUAA
rnacentral:miRNA from 1 species